UGCUAGGGCGAGUAAAAUGGUCAGAAUGAGGUGUUCUCGCAUUUGUGUCUGGAAGUAGCUACCAAAGUAGCUAACGUUAGACAGUUAGCUUGGGUGCAGUUGUGUGGUCGGAACGCUCGGACCAACCCUACUCCGUUAGAGCGUCUACUGUGUGAAAAAUUCAAGGGGUAGUGAGGUUCGCAUCCUUGGAUUACUCUUCGGGGCCUUACCGUGAAGACUACCCGAGGAGUUUCGACCUCCAGACAUUCCACGCCCUGGACGUUCUACGCCAGAGCACCAGCGCCUCUCAAUGUGCCACUGAGACGGCUUACCAAGAGGAGUUUGGCCUGCAGUCCCACCUCAACCCUCCGGAUAACACUAAGUUUACCCUGUACUCUCACCCUGGGCCUAUGCAACAGUUGGAGACAGGGAGUGAAGAGGAACAUUUUACAACACCAUGGCAAUCAAACUGAACUCCAUCCAUGAAAAGUAACCAAUGAAAAUGGUGCAUUGCAUGUAUUUUUGUUUGAAUGACAGGUUGUAAAAUCUUGCAUUGCAAUCGUAUACAUGACUCUAGUCAACUGGUACUGUAUAUUUCUAUGAAAGUCCAUUGGCACAAAAAGUGUAAUUAAAUCCAAAAAUGUCAGCAAACACGAAUCAAA